GACUUGUGGAAGGAACGCAGCCUGAUGAUUACAUCUAAUAAUUUCAGGGCCCUUCUUGGAGACCCUGCCGGUGCAGAGAGGGAUCCUACUGCCAUUUCAAUUAUGCAGGAUCCUGGGUGGAGGAUGUGCAUGAAGAUAGGUUAUAUGCACUUUUGUCUCCCAAUCAACACCACAGCUGGGAAACUAUUCAAGUGUUUGAAUGAUUACAUAUCAGGAGAACUGAUCCAACCAUUUUGCAUUGAUACCUUCACAGAUGAUUCAGCUGCUAUGACUGGAUGGCUUUCUGGCUUCACCAUUUUGGUUAAUGAGAUUACUUCUGAAUGUGACCCUGUGUGCUGUGAGAUCCAUAGAGAAGUGCUGCCUAACUGAAUAAUAUCACCUGAACCUAACAAAGUUUUUCAGUAUGUGAUUAAAAUUAUCAGCCACAUAAAGUAAUCCUUUAAAAUACAUCUGUUCACACAGUGCCACAAGGAGAUGGCUACUGAGCACACAAGUCUUCUCUUAUAUAUGACUUUCUAAAGGUAGAUCACCUGCUAGAGUUUUUGAGUUAC
rnacentral:lncRNA from 1 species